rnacentral:tRNA from 1 species
GCCGGAGUGGUGAAACUGGUAGACGCGCUGGACUCAAAAUCCAGUGAACCUUGCGUUCGUGUCGGUUCGAUUCCGACCUCCGGCA